GAGGCUUUAGCUUAAUUAAAGUGUCUGGUUUGCAUUCAGGAGAUGUAAUUUAGAAUAUUACAAGUCUUA
rnacentral:tRNA from 1 species